GACGAACGCUGGCGGCGUGCUUAACACAUGCAAGUCGAGCGGUAAGGCUCCUUCGGGAGUACACGAGCGGCGAACGGGUGAGUAACACGUGAGCAAUCUGCCCUUCACUUUGGGAUAACUUCCGGAAACGGGAGCUAAUACCGAAUACGACCACUUCCGGCCUCGGAUGGUGGUGGAAAGUUCCGGCGGUGAAGGAUGAGCUCGCGGCCUAUCAGCUUGUUGGUGAGGUAACGGCUAACCAAGGCUUCGACGGGUAGCCGGCCUGAGAGGGUGACCGGCCACACUGGGACUGAGACACGGCCCAGACUCCUACGGGAGGCAGCAGUGGGGAAUAUUGGACAAUGGGCGAAAGCCUGAUCCAGCAACGCCGCGUGAGGGAUAACUGCCUUCGGGUUGUAAACCUCUUUCAGCGGGGACGAAGCGAAAGUGACGGUACCCGCAGAAGAAGCACCGGCCAACUACGUGCCAGCCGCCGCGGUAAUAC
rnacentral:rRNA from 1 species